rnacentral:lncRNA from 1 species
GGAAAUUGAUCUAAUAAUUGUUUACUCUAGUUGUCUUUUACAGUUUCUUACAGCCUGAUUUGUCGAUCCAAUUGUUCGAGAUCUUUUUUGGUUGACCAAAAAUUUUUUUGAGGUUUUUUCUUGGUCGCCGAUGGUCAAUAUUAAGGACCACCUUGGUUUGCAACGGUUUUCUUCACUAAAUCAAACUUUAAUUUUUCCCCAGGCCUUUAUGUGACAUAUGUUGUUGUUGUUGUAAGGAUACUAUACUAGCUAAUAGUUUCCUUUUCAUGGCAAUAUAUGUAUGUAGCAAAUACUUGAACUACAUCCAUUGAUUUGUCCUGUGUAAUACAUUCAUAUUAUCCCUCUUUGCUUUCCGUUCUGGUGUUUCAAAUUAAGUCUUCACUUGAGAACAUGAUCUUCACGGAAUCUUGGUGAGUUUGAACAUUUAGAACUUGAAAUGCAUUAUACUGAUUAUAAUUUCGUUACUUGUUAUUAUAAUACUUUGUGUUUCACUGUUUUCUUGUUUCUUGAAGCUUCCUGAUACUUAAUAUCUUGUGUGACUCUGUGUUUUGUCCGACACUAUUUAGCAUCUGCUUGUUUCUGUUGAACAUUGUACUUCAAAUAAUUUUCUUGUGUUGGUUAAAAACUCCAAAUGUCAACUACCAUGUUUGAAGUUGGAGUUUUUAAC